rnacentral:tRNA from 4 species
GGAAGCGUGGCAGAGUGGCCGAUUGCACCGGUCUUGAAAACCGGCAACGGGCAACCGUUCGUGAGUUCGAAUCUCACCGCUUCCGCCA